ensembl:lncRNA
UUUUUUUUUUUUUUUUUUUUUUUUUUUUUCUUAGAGCAAUAGGCAUUAAUUAGAAAUAAAAUCUAUUUUCCCUUAUUCUCUCAUGUAUUUUUCAGGACUUAUAAUAAACCUUAUAAUAAAUAUAUUCUCGCCUUCUCAAAUCUGGGCACUCACUCAACUCACCAUUUUCUUUAAAAAUUAAUAAUAAAACUGAUAUGGUUAGCACAUUUUAUACAUUGACAUUCAAAAAUCAUCUAAAAUGAGGAUUUCCUCUGACUCUAGGCACUUUAACAUCAUAAAGAAUAUAACACAACCCCAGCAGUAAUUAUUUCAAUGGGAAGGCAGUCCUUCAGACCUCUAUGGAUACUCCUUUCCAUUCUUCCACUUGCUGGGAAAUAAUCUUAAUUCUCCUGACAAAAUUCUGCCCUACAUGCCUUUGGCACAAGAAGAUGACUGGAUAAAAGCUAUUUCUGGUGAUGACAGAAAACAAUCCCCCAAUCCUGGAGAACAUCCUGACAGUUGCUCCCGCAGUUUUAUUAGGACAUAAAAACAACUGGCUUCUGCUGGCUGGGAUAAACUGGUCUGCAAUUGUUAAAAGCUUUACAAGGCAGAACUGGUGGGUUAAAUCCCAGUGCUCAUCUAAGUGGGUGCCAAGCAAGAUGUUCUGCUUCAAAGAGGAACUCCUGGUGCUGCUCCUUCCUCUGGGGCAGGGCUGUGACAGCAGCAGCUGUAAGUGGGAUGUGUUCUGCACCUCAUUUGCCAUCGAUCUCCACAGUUGUCUUGUCAAAUCCUGCCAGCCUGCAGAACACGCUGCGAGUGCACUGCUCUGCCAGUGCAGCCUUGGAAAUGCAUGGCAUGGGUGUCAGCUCAGGCAGCCCUCGUGUGCUGAGCUGAAAUGGAUCCAGAACAGCCUUAGGGCCAUCUUCUGCAGAUACUACAAAGAAACACAAUUUCUGUCCAAGUUCAGUGUUAGGGCACACCUCACCCCAUUCCUGGAGUGGCUACUGCAAUCAUUACUUGCCUGAAAAUGCACAGAGGUAAUUUAAAAUAAAAAUUUCACACUAACAGUUCGAAGUCAAAGUAAAGAAGUUUCAGCCACACACACAAACACUUUCUGCUUUUUUAAGUUACCAAGCACAUACCAUAAAGACAAGUCUUGCUUUGUAAUCGCUGAUUUUCCCUCACUGUACAGUUAUUCAGAUCUCAUUCCAGAAUUGUGGUUAAUUAACAGAUUUUAGUUUGUUCUGUGUUUAAGAUUUUUUGUGGCUUGACUCUGGGAAAAUGCACAAACGAGGCAGCAGCUUGUUUUUCAGCUCCUGUCUUUGCAUUUUCUGCCUAAGAGCCAGGGAAGCAUGUAAAUUAGGAAGCACAUGUAUCUUGCAGGAUUAGCAUUUCUCAGAAGGCAGAGAAAUGACAGCACACCUUCCAGUCUCAAGACAGAAAAAUUCAUCAUGCACCAUUUCGGGGGUGGAUUUUUUCAUGUUUCUCUGCCAAGCUACUGAUCUGAAAUCUUAUUUUUAUUUCAUUCAUCCUUCUUUCAGUAACAGCAGCUCCUCUGUUGGCAAUAUAAUUGUUCAUAUUAUGAUGCCUCAAGUGAGGUUAAGGCUGUAUGAUGAAAACAUAUGCCACAUACAAAUAUACAUAAUGCACAAUAUAGGAAAUCUAUCAGGAUUCAUUUGGUGCAGUUACCUGAGCACUCUGCAUAAUAAUCCCACAAGAAAUAUUUCACAAUGUGAACAUCAAAUACGUAAAAUUGCCUCAAGGCCAAGAGAACCAGAAUGCACUAAAUUCAUUUUCUUGUAAGGAUCUACUCCUUCAGAGAUUUAAAUUAAAAUGCAAAGAAAUUUUCCCAAGUAAUACCAAGAGUGUAAAUUUAGGAGGGAAAAGGCCAAAACCUUUAGAUAUUUUUUUAGCAAAUAUAUUCUGCAGCCAAAGGCUUAAUUCAGAUCUGCUUUUUUAUGGUGCAUAGGUAUUUCAAGGCAAAAAAAUAAUUUAUUCUAAUGCUCAUGGUAAUAAAUGAAAUGUCUGCUUCUGGCACUUAGAAUUUGAAACACAGUGGUCCCAGUAGAUCAACUUGAUGCUGUGCUUGUCAUGGGCCAUCAGAUUUCAACCUGCAUUCAUCAAAUAAAAUAAAGCAUAACUUCUGCUUGGCUAAAAAUUAAUUUUCAGAAAUACAUCUGAUCUUCAACAGAAGACAUGAAUGAUGGCAAAUCCUCAGCUUCUUUUGGGAAUGUGUUCUGGUGGUUAACCAUGGAAAAAAUGUGUGUCUGAUUUCCUAUUUGAAUUUGUCUGGCUUUUGCCUCUGGCCAUUACUUCUUAUUAUGCUUUUCUUCAAUAGAUUAAAGAGCCCUUUAAUAUCCUGUACUUCCCCUCAGGAAUGUUCCUAUACACUACAAUCAAGUCACCUCCCAAUUCUCUUCCAGAUAACUUUAACAGCCUGAGCUCUUAAAACAUCCCAGCGUAAGGCAUUUUCUCCAACCACCAGAACAUUUUGCUUCAUUUUUUUGCUCUCUUAUUUUCCAAUGUGCUUCUUAAAAUCUGAAAACCAGCACUGUAUGCACUACCCUCUGAUGAUAUUAUUGACGUCAAACAUGAGAGGUAAAAUAAACACUUUUUAAUUCCUUUGUUUAUACAUUGAUUAAUCCUUUUCUGCCAUAGCAGCAUACAGGAGAACCCUUAUCUGAUUGCUUACUUAUCUGGCUCUUAAAUCCUUCUCAAAGUCAUUACCUUCACAGUCUUCUAUUUUCCAGUAAUGAUCUCCACACUUGGGUUUUAAGACAGACAGCUAUUUGGUUUGAUGAAUGAAAAUUCACUAGGUUUAAGCAAGCUGCUUGUACAAACUUGCAUUGUAUUGAUCAGUGCCCCAUCCUGAUCAUUAUUUACAAUUCCAUUAAUUCUGAAGCUGAAUUUUUGCAGCAGCAGGUUUGGAUCAGCUUCCAGAUCAUUGCUAAAAAUGUAGCAGGACAUGGAACCUGCUACUAGGACCUCUUUAGACACCAUCUCUUUCAACAAAGUUGUCAUACAGAUUUCUUCUCAAGAUAUAGAAGCAAAUUCUAUAUGUAUGGUUUGUUGGCACUUUAUAAUGAGAAUAUCACAGCACCAAACAAAGUACCUCCUCAAAACAGUAUUGAUAGCUAUUUUAACUAAAACUGUAGAUGUGCACUAUAUUCCUUUGUUUCAACUUUUUAUUAUUUGAAUUCCACAUCAGAUUUUCUAUUUUGGUUAGGAUUUAAGCUAACCAGUUGCUUGGGUCACAAAACCGGCACCAAACAACAGUUUAUCAUUUCUUUAACCUCCUGAUUUUAAGGCAAGACACAAAUACACAGGAGCAGCAUCUGUAGCACAGGCAGAAGCAACAGAAAGCAGAGGAGACCAGAGAUCGCAUUUCUCACAGCAUUUCCAGGAUGGAAACCGCAGAACUGCGGACUUGCAAAGUACCUGCGGACAAAUCUCCUGGUCCUGCUGAACUCCCAGCCCUGCAUACACACACAGGGAGAUGUGGAGACUGUGGAGACGGGAUAAGACACGACUGCUUUGCCUCAGGCCCUGCAGAACCUCCCUGAGCCGCCGCGGCUGAACCGGCCUGACCGCCGGGGCCAGCGCCACGAUUCUGCCUCCGAACAAUCUUAAGCAGCACCACGGGAAGUUUACGUUGGGCAUUAGGAAGAAUUUCUUAAUGGAAAGCGUGAUUAGGAAUGGGCUGUCCAGGGAACUGGCGGAGUCACUGCCCCUGGAGGUAUUUAAGGAAAGACUGGAUGGGGCAAUCGGUGCCACGGUCUAGUGGGCAAGGUGGUGAUGGGUGGCAGGCUGGGCUCGAUGAUCUCAGAGGUCUCUUCCACCGCAGUUGAUUCGGUGUUUCGAUAGCGAAGAUGAGGAGGAGAACGAGGAGAAGGAGGAGAAGGAGGAGAAGGAGGAGAAGGAGGAGAAGGAGGAGAAAGAAGGAGGAGAAGGAGGAGAA